rnacentral:rRNA from 1 species
UACGUAGGGUGCGAGCGUUAAUCGGAAUUACUGGGCGUAAAGCGUGCGCAGGCGGUGAGCUGUGUCCGAUGUGAAAGCCCCGGGCUUAACCUGGGAAUGGCAUUGGAAACUGGCUCGCUGGAGUGUGGCAGAGGGGGGUGGAAUUCCGCGUGUAGCAGUGAAAUGCGUAGAGAUGCGGAGGAACACCGAUGGCGAAGGCAGCCCCCUGGGCUAACACGUGACGCCUCAGGCACGAAAGCGUGGGGAGCAAACAG